rnacentral:misc_RNA from 1 species
GAUGAAGAACGUAGCGAAAUGCGAUAAGUAAUGUGAAUUGCAGAAUUCAGUGAAUCAUCGAAUCUUUGAACGCAUCUUGCGCUCCUUGGUAUUCUGAGGAGCAUGCCUGUUUGAGUGUCAUUAAAUUCUCAACUACACUGACUUUGAAUUGGUGUGGCUUGGAUUUGGGGGGAAAAUUGUUGUGGGCUUUUUGUAUAGUCUGCUCCCCUGAAAUUGAUUAGCGGUACCUUUGUGGAACUGUCUACAGGUGUGAUAAUUAUCUACAUCUUAGACAUCUGCUGGAAUGCUGCUUUCUAAACCUUACUUGUAUUGACAAUCUUGACCUCAAAUCAGGUAGGACUACCCGCUGAACUUAAGCAUAUCAAUAAGCGAAGGA